UACGUAGGCGGCAAGCGUUAUCCGGAAUUAUUGGGCGUAAAGAGCGCGCAGGUGGUUAAUUAAGUCUGAUGUGAAAGCCCACGGCUUAACCGUGGAGGGUCAUUGGAAACUGGUUGACUUGAGUGUAGAAGAGGGAAGUGGAAUUCCAUGUGUAGCGGUGAAAUGCGUAGAGAUAUGGAGGAACACCAGUGGCGAAGGCGGCUUCCUGGUCUGCAACUGACACUGAGGCGCGAAAGCGUGGGGAGCAAACAGG
rnacentral:rRNA from 1 species